rnacentral:rRNA from 1 species
AUCCCGCCGGAGGCUACCGCUAUUGGAGUCCGAUUAANACAUGCGAGUCGAGAGCUUUCGGAGCUCGGCAUACUGCUCAGUAACACGUGGGUAACCUGCCCUGUGCUGGGGGAUAACCUCGGGAAACUGAGAACAAUACCCCAUAGUCCACUACGCCUGGAACGGUGAGUGGAUGAAAGCCCCGGCGGCACAGGAUGGGCCUGCGGCGUAUCAGGUAGUAGGGGGUGUAAAGUACCCUCUAGCCUUCGACGCGUACGGGUUGUGAGAGCAAUAGCCCGGAGAUGGAUUCUGAGACACGAAUCCAGGUCCUACGGGACGCAGCAGUCGCGAAACCUUGACAAUGCGGGAAACCGUGAUCAGGGGACUCCAAGUGCCAGGAGUAAGAUCCUGUGCUUUUCUUCUCUCUUCAAAGGAUUAGGAAUAAGAGGUGGGUAAGGACGGUGCCAGCCGCCGCGGUAAUACCGGCGCCUCGAGUGGUAGUCGAUUUUAUUGGGCCUAAAACGUCCGUCGCCGGUCUGGUGCAUUCGUGGGUAAAUCAACCCGCUCAACGGGUUGAAUUCUGCGAGCACGGCCAGACUAGGGACCGGGAGAGGUGUGGGGU